UGGGGAAUAUUGGGCAAUGGGCGAAAGCCUGACCCAGCAACGCCGCGUGAAGGAAGAAGGCUUUCGGGUUGUAAACUUCUUUGACGAGGGAAGAAAGAAAUGACGGUACCUCGAAAACAAGCCACGGCUAACUACGUGCCAGCAGCCGCGGUAAUACGUAGGUGGCAAGCGUUGUCCGGAUUUACUGGGUGUAAAGGGCGUGUAGGCGGGAGACCAAGUCAGAUGUGAAAUGCCAGGGCUUAACCCUGGAGCUGCAUUUGAAACUGGCCUUCUUGAGUGAUGGAGAGGCAGGCGGAAUUCCUAGUGUAGCGGUGAAAUGCGUAGAUAUUAGGAGGAACACCAGUGGCGAAGGCGGCCUGCUGGACAUUAACUGACGCUGAGGCGCGAAAGCGUGGGGAGCAAACAGG
rnacentral:rRNA from 1 species